rnacentral:rRNA from 1 species
GACGAACGCUGGCGGCGUGCUUAACACAUGCAAGUCGAACGGAAAGGCCUGCUUUCCCUUGUGGAUUGCGGGUACUCGAGUGGCGAACGGGUGAGUAACACGUGAGUGAUCUGCCCCCAACUUGGGGAUAAGCCUGUGAAACUGGGUCUAAUUCCCGAUAGGACUGCAGGGUGGUGCCUGUGGUGGAAAACGAUUUUCUAGUGGUUGGGGAUGAGCUCGCGGCCUAUCAGCUUGUUGGUGGGGUAAUGGCCUACCAAGGCGGCGACGGGUAGCCGGCCUGAGAGGGUGGACGGCCACAUUGGGACUGAGAGACGGCCCAGACUCCUACGGGAGGCAGCAGUGGGGAAUAUUGCACAAUGGGCGGAAGCCUGAUGCAGCGACGCCGCGUGGGGGAUGACGGCCUUCGGGUUGUAAACUCCUUUCGACCGCGAGGAAGCCACCUGGUUGGAAGGGUGGUGACGGUAGUGGUAGAAGAAGCACCGGCUAACUACGUG